rnacentral:rRNA from 1 species
UACGGAGGGUGCGAGCGUUGUUCGGAAUCACUGGGCGUAAAGCGCGUGUAGGCGGCCUUUUAAGUCUGAUGUGAAAGCCCGGGGCUCACCCCCGGAAGUGCAUUGGAAACUGGGAGGCUAGAGUACCGGAGAGGAAGGUGGAAUUCCUGGUGUAGCGGUGAAAUGCGUAGAUAUCAGGAGGAACACCGGCGGCGAAGGCGGCCUUCUGGACGGUGACUGACGCUGAGACGCGAAAGCGUGGGGAGCGAACCGG